rnacentral:rRNA from 1 species
AUGAACGCUGGCGGCGUGCCUAAUCCCUGCAAGUCGAGCGAACAGACGAGGAGCUUGCUCCUCUGACGUUAGCGGCGGACGGGUGAGGAACACGUGGAUAACCUACCUAUAAGACUGGGAUAACUUCGGGAAACCGGAGCUAAUACCGGAUAAUAUAUUGAACCGCAUGGUUCAAUAGUGAAAGACGGUUUUGCUGUUACUUAUAGAUGGAUCCGCGCCGCAUUAGCUAGUUGGUAAGGUAACGGCUUACCAAGGCAACGAUGCGUAGCCGACCUGAGAGGGGGAUCGGCCACACUGGAACUGAGACACGGUCCAGACGCCUGCGGGAGGCAGCAGUAGGGAAUCUUCCGCAAUGGUCGAAAGCCUGACGGAGCAACGCCGCGUGUGAGAUGAAGGUCUUCGGAUCGUAAAACUCUGUUAUUAGGGAAGAACAAAUGUGUAAGUAACUAUGCACGUAUUGACGGUACCUAAACAGAAAGCCACGGCUAACUACGUG